rnacentral:rRNA from 1 species
UACGGGGGUCCCAAGCGUUGUUCGGAUUCACUGGGCGUAAAGCGCGCGCAGGCGGCUUUUCAAGUCAGGGGUGAAAUCCCAGAGCUCAACUCUGGAAUUGCCUUUGAGACUGGGAGGCUUCGAGUACGGGAGAGGUGAGUGGAAUUCCCAGUGUAGAGGUGAAAUUCGUAGAUAUUGGGAAGAACACCAGUGGCGAAGGCGGCUCACUGGCCCGUUACUGACGCUCAGGCGCGACAGCGUGGGGAUCAAACAGG